rnacentral:misc_RNA from 1 species
CUAAGUUUAUGACAUUUCGUAUCUUGAAACUAGAACAAUCUUAUUUGCUUCAAGUGCAUCACUUAAUACAUUAUAUCAUUGAUUAUGCUAUGUUCGUUAAAAUUCAAGCAUUUCCUACAGAAACUGCCACCGCGUUUGAAGGCCAUUCAUUGCUCGGCCCAUCGUUCUGGAGUUCCUCCGUCUCCCAAAGGAAACUUGCAUAUGCUCCAAGAACAUAGCUGUUUGUAGGAGAUGCUUCUAUUGCACUCUCGAAG